GGGCACAUUUUGGGAAAGACUAAUGUAGUAGGUCUUUUCCAUUUCUUAUAUCUAUGAUAACUGCCAUUUCAUCUGAAUUUGUUGUAGCUGGGGACUUAACAGGAAAUAUCAGCUGAUGAAGGAAAUGCCAGACAUUCGUUACUAACAAUAACUGAAUACCUAUUGUGCAUGUCCUAUGGGGAAUAGCAGUUAGAAAAACAGGAAAUGUAGCAGAAAAUGGUUGGCCAGCUACUUUGGAAGUCCAGAGCUACGUUAUUAAAAUCAGAAACAUCCACUGCUAGGAUAAAAAUGCAAAUAUAUGCACCACUUUUCUUCUUGCUUAGUCCACAGGACAUCUAGUG